GUAGCUAAUAGUUGCCAAUUUUUAGCAGGGGACUGUUUGGAUCUACCCGCUAAUACGUGGUUGGAUAUCGACUAUUAACACCUAUUAGCAAACUCAAACCUUAGCCCUCCAGCUAAACAAGUAGCAAGUUUAUUUGCAAAUCUGUUUCGAUCCACUAGUAAUAAUUUUAGUACUAAUGAAUCUAAACGGGUGCGUGCUCAUAUGUACCGAAAUACUAUCAUAUAUAGUCUAACUUGCCGAUUAGGGGCUAAGGUCGGGACCAAAGAUUUUGAUCCGAUAUAUAUUUUUCUCUCGGUCUCUCAUGAUCUUCAUUACUGAUGGGCUGGAUUUGGGAUUACCGGCCCAUGUUUCACGGACUUCUCGUGUGGGCCAAAACGGAUCCCCCUUUGUAUUAGCCGGUGCCGCCCUACACCGCACGUGCAUGAUGAGACAACUGCAGCGAAAUCACCCAAACAAAGAAAAAAAAAACUCUAAAAAUAAGGAGAGAAAUCAAAUGGCCGGACAAAAUAAAAGACGACCAAAGUAAACAAAGCUACUGAAAGAGGAACAAAUCACCUACUCAGCUACUCCCUCCCUCCAUGGACUGCCGCCGGUCGCCCUUUUUUUUUGGUCUUUUGUGGAGCGGAAAAAAAAAAGAAAUGGAGACGCAUCGCAUGGCCUGGCCUGGCCUUCAUUUAUCUGUGUUCCUGCUGGAAUGAAUACCAUCGCAGCAGGCCCUUUUAUAGCAGGUAACAACACACACACACCCACCUCGUCGGUGUGCGGCGUGGCGCCAGUCCCGCCCCGCGCCAUCUCCGAUCCGCUAGCUCCGACGAGAGCUCCCGGCCGGCCAUCGAUCCCAUGCAUUAUAUUUCCACCAGACCAGGAAGCUAGCUAGAUCCCAUUCCCAUGCAUGCAUUCUCGUCGAUAUAUAUAUCGGUCUCGCCAUUAAUUAACCUACCUAGCUAUAUAUCAUAUCUCCUCCCUCCUUCAUUAUUUAUUUAUUUCAUCACUUCCUUCCUUCCUUCCUGCC
rnacentral:lncRNA from 1 species